UACGUAGGGUGCAAGCGUUGUCCGGAAUUAUUGGGCGUAAAGAGCUCGUAGGCGGUCUGUCGCGUUCUGGUGUGAAAAUCCAGGGCUUAACCCUGGACCUGCAUCGGGUACGGGCAGACUAGAGUGCGGUAGGGGGAGAUCGGAAUUCCUGGUGUAGGCGGUGAAAAUGCGCAGAUAUCAGGAGGAACACCGGUGGCGAAGGCGGAUCUCUGGGCCGUAACUGACGCUGAGGAGCGAAAGCAUGGGGAGCGAACAGG
rnacentral:rRNA from 1 species